ACAACCCGCCCUGCUGAGUUCAGAACUCAGUUGCCGCUGGCACUAGUAUCGGUGCCGGGCACAGAAACAAAACAGUACCCAUGAAUAAACACCAAAACAGGCGGAAAUAUUCAGGGGUUUAACGGAAACAAAAACACAAUGUACUGUAUACUUCAUUGAAAAGACUGCUGGUCAGUGUAACCGAAGGACCAUAUCAGUUUCUUGCUUUCUUUCGUAUUGGCGUCCAGAUGGAUGAGUCAUUGGUCAGUAAUCCUCGGGUCCCUCUCUAGCUGUAGCUGUAGCAGGAGCUGGAGAAGUAGUUCCUAGUAUAUCCUACAAGGUAUGUUAUUGGAGGAGGAGAGAAGCUCUAUUUCUGGAGCACUGCCCCUCACGUGGCUUCCUGCAACACAAGACGGCCGUUGUCAUGGUGAGGGUGGACAGAGAGAACCAGAGCAGUGGACGUUUGGCGGGAAAACCUUGUGCCCUGGAAACCUGCCUUUGUUUACCUUGUUACAGGAGGACGGAAAAGCUACCGUCCGAGACUUCACAGCUCACUGAACAUACUGUACACACAACAAACCCACACGAAAACACACCCACACACAAGUGCAUCAUGAUCUGAUCAUAAAUCUGUUUUAUCACUCUAGAUUAGGAGUGUUGCCGGCGCAGCGCCAGAUGAAAGAGAUAUUUUAUUGCCCGGUUGUGUUCAACUGUAAGAGGGAAUUACAUGGGACUGUUGCGCUUUGUUUCAUCUUGAGCAGUGAGGAAAGAAAUAAACCUCCUGGCAAACACUGUGACCACACCUUGGACAAACGUCCGGGUCUUUAUAAUGCAGCUUAUCUCUAUAACGUUGAAUCAAACAACAUCCGGACAACCUCUUGCUCACCGUCACAUUAGAACAAAAGCAGUCCGGCGGUGGGAAACAGGUGACUGUAAACACACACAGUCCUGAGCAAGGGAGCGCUGCUGCUGGGAGGAAACAGGUCAGCUGAUGGUGUUAUGUACCCCCGCCCCCCCCCCCCCCUCUCUCUCUCUCUCUCUGUUCCUUAAGUGCUCUCUUUUUUCUUUAUGCUCUUUCUCUCAAUGUCACAUUAGGCACUGGAAAUAAACUCUUGGAGGAUACUGAGGUCACAACUGGUUACCCAUAAUCCCCGGCGGGGUGACACGCCUGCCUUUGAGUGGUCACGAGUUGCUCACCCUGGCAGUUUACUAUCAAACUGAUAAAGCUGCCAGGACAAAUAACGCUAUCAGCGCUGAUAAUGUUGAAAAGGAAAUUUCAUUACCUUUACCUGGAUGACAAUUGACUGUGAAAAUCAACUGCCAAGACCCAGUAUUUAAACAUAUCUUCUAUUGUCAAAAGGUACUCCUUGUGAUUAGUUAAACCAAUCUAAUACGUCCUCAAUCGCUGCCUUGAACGUGCUUGUGUUGAGUGUUUAUUAUGAACACCCUUACUGACAUGUUUUAUGAGGUUUCAGUCUCCUCAGUAUUUGUUAUCUCCAAAGACAGACAUUCCCAAGAAGACAACAUCAACAACAUAUCUCAACCUUAGAGGCUGGGCUGAAGAGAGAGAAGGAAAGGGGGAGACAGGGAGGGAAGGAAAGGGGGAGACAGGGAGGAUUUGAUAUGAAUCAGUUUGUUACGUCAGGCAGAAAAACAGCCUGUUAGCUGCCAAGCCAUCAUCUAACGGGCAGGUGAUGCAGCUGCCCGGACUGCUUCCAGUAAGAGGAGCUGUCUGUUUUGCUGACAUCACCAUGACUAACACCAGGAGGGUGGCGGGGCCAGAUGAACUCCAGCUCCCCUAUAGUGAUACAGACUUCAACUACACAAGGGCAGAUAGGAAAACACACACACACACACACAUGCAGUAAACAACAACAGCUGCCAUCCACAGUAUGUACGUAACUCACAUUGGCGAUCACUCAGCCAUCUUGUCUAUCUCUUCGCUGCACUAAACAUAGCUCUGUAACUGUAUCCUGCUCAAUGAAGGUGUGUGUGUGUCCGUGUGUUUUGAUGUUAUUGUGGGUACAAGGGUGUGAUUGGGUAAUGACAGCACCUGAGGGGAGGGUGGGUUGCAGAUGGGUUAAGUGUUUCUCUAUUCAGGUCCAGGUGACUGAUGCUGUGACUGUAUAAGCUCACUUUUCUGAACUAACAAUACCCACCAGUUUUUAGGAUAAUGUCCACCCUAAGCCAUGAGGAGGAAUCUAUGCAGGGAAACUGAAGUGGGAUGAGUCAGUUAGCUGGUCUGUCCUUGCACACAAUGGACCAACAGAUGCUCUGCUGCUCCAGUAAUUCAAUAUAUUGGUAUUAUAGUAGCAGCAGAGACACACAUACACACACAGAGAGAGAGAGAGAGAGAGAGAGAGAGAGAGAGAGAGAGAGAGAUCCAAGAAGAGAGAGACAUACACAUUCCCAUUCACUUAAACACACAAUUGUUCCAUAAUAGCUCAACGGUGCCUGUUGGAAAAUAACAAUAUGUUCCAUUGAGCUGUUCAUGGAGACAGCUGAAUCACGAGCCAGCCUACAGUAAUGUGUGAAUAUGUGUGUCAGCAUUAUGUUAGAGAGGGGUGUGUGUGUGUGUACAGUCUCUGUUUUCAUUUUGAAUCGUUCCUCCCUUUUGUAUUUGGAGGAAAGUUGACAACCCUUUCCACUUGCAUGCCUGUGGUCCACCACCUCACUGUUCGGGACAGCUCACAGUGACUGGAUCGCAGACAGCCAUGUGCCUUUGAGGUUAGCAGAAGCCAUCCCUGGCAGGAGUCUGGAGGUGAGUCACCAACACAUGAACACAUCAGAGAGAGAGUGACCACACACUGAGUCACCCCCCUCUCUCUCCCUUCACAUCCCCAAGGACACAGCCUGGCGGAGACCACUUAUUGCCCUGCUAUCGCUGUCAGUUAUCAGGCAACAUCAAACAGGCAAACACUUCCGAGUGGAAUGGAAUGGAGUUUGAGGAGAGAUGGAGGGAUCGGCAUUGAUCUAAUUCUCAGCCGGGGCACAUUUGUGUCCCUGCUGUGUCUGUAUCAUUUACACUGUUUCAGAACACAGGAAACAGGAAACCAGCCACAAUGCAACGUGAGCAAGAAGGAUCCACUUGAUUUAUGAAUGAGUUCAAAGUUACCAAUCUUUAAAUGUUUGUGUUUAAUAAACUAAUGGUUGGGUACUGAAUCCAUGAAUUUCAAUGCUUCAGCAACAGGAAAUAAAUA